GGGUCAGUAGGUUGGUCGUGCCACCUGUACGUACUGGUCACACUGAUUCCUCCUUCCUGAAGAGCCGUAAUGCCAUUAAUUUGGUGUUGCGGGGAAACAGGACUGUUACUUUGAAAAAAUUAGAGUGUUUAAAGCAAGCUAACGCUUGAAUACAUUAGCAUGGGAUAAUGAAAUAGGACGAUCGAUCCUAUUUUGUUGGUUUCUAGGAUUGACGUA
rnacentral:rRNA from 1 species